rnacentral:rRNA from 1 species
CCUACGGGGUGCAGCAGUGGGGAAUAUUGCACAAUGGGGGAAACCCUGAUGCAGCGACGCCGCGUGAGUGAAGAAGUAUUUCGGUACGUAAAGCUCUAUCAGCAGGGAAGAAAAACAGUCCUUUGGACUUUGGAUGGUACUUGACUAAGAAGCAGCGGCUAACUACGUGCUAGCAGCAGCGGCAAUACGGAGGGGGCAAGCGUUAUCCGGAUUUACUGGGUGUAAAGGGAGCGUAGACGGCAGCGUAUGUCUGGAGUGAAAUGCCGGGGCCCAACCCCGGAAAUGCUGUGGAGACUGGGCAGCUUGAGUGCAGGAGAGGUAAGCGGAAUUCGUAGUGUAGCGGUGAAAUGCGUAGAUAUUAGGAAGAACACCGAUGGCGAAGGCGGCUUACUGGACUGUAACUGACGUUGAGGCUCGAAAGCGUGGGGAGCAAACAGGAUUAGAUACCCCGGUAGUC